GGGGUAGGAGUUGGUGGAUCGUGGUGCUUGUGGGAUCCAACAGUGAGAAGGUGUGUGAGCUUAGCUGUAAGAACUUCAUAGGAACUGAAGCCUAUAAGGACUACAAGAUCUGUAAAUUGUAUUAUAUAAUCAAAUUUUUAUGCACAGAAUAUUUUUAUUGGAUGGAAUGGCAACUCAACAAAAAAUUGCUCCCAAAGAUUUGCUGUGAGGACAACAAAGAAUCCUGUCUCGUGAAGGAUAGAACGGACUUUGCCAAACUGCCUUCAAUGAUACUUGCUUUUUGUUUCUUUAUAUACAAUUGAAAGGAGUAGAUCUUCAUGAUUAAUGUACAAACAUUACAUUUAGCCAUUUUUUACACUCUCUUCCUCAAUGCAGAGUGAAGUGUGAUUAUUUCUGCUACAAUUUAUUCAAGUUUUGGUUUAAAGGUACUUUCACUGACAAUGGAAUGGUCAACAUAGAUGUCUGGACUAGCAGAUCUCAGAUCUGACAUCUCCAUAUGGCAAUCCUAAAUGAUGCCUAGCUGAAGUUUGAAAAUUACAGAGUAACUUCUAGUAUGCUAAUGGGCACUAGCUGUUUGGAAGAGAUGAUUAGUGUGGAUGCAGCACUGAGUAAAUGGAGUCCAAUUCUACCUUGGUUGGGAUGAUUCUGUUGAUAUCACAAGCAGCAGAUCCAAAGUUAUUUGUGGUAUCUCUGCCCCUAUGGGACCAAAAAGUCCAAGGUGCUAACAAAUAAAGUUGGGGAAUAUGUAACAAAAUGCUCCAGGUGAGACUAUGCAAAAGAGGGAGGGUUCCAUACAGAAUAGCUUCUAAAAUCACAAAAUGCAUUUUAAGUAAGGACAGACCUAAAUACUGGGUUUUCAGCUUCCUGUGAUGAAAAGAGCUUUUUGAACUCCAUGGAAACAUUGAGAAAGAUAAUUAGCAGCCUUAGUGAUUGAGUGACAUGAGCGGGAUUAAAAAAAAAAUCACUUAUUUACAUGUCAAAAUGUCCAUCACAACCUGUUGGUAUGGGAACAUACUGCCUUUUCUUUAGGAAAUGAGAGAGUGUAAAGAAAAUGGAUAUGUUCACUGGAUGAAUAUAUGUCCUCAGAGCUGUUACCCUGGAUUUACAGCACUGAGAAAACAUAAUCCAGUCUACUGUGUGCUGCUCUUCUUCUGUUGCCAUAAAUGGAAGAAGGACACCCCACAGGACUCAAAAACACUUUGCAAUACGUUCAUAAUCAUCAGCAAACAAGUCAUGACUACCACUCACAAAAUUACAGAACCUACCAAAACUAGGGAGAAAGGAAAUAUGAGAGGCAAGAGUAAAACUUAACAAAAAUAGUUAGGGCAAUGAAAAGAAUGAGAAUAAUCUUCUGUAGAAGGUCAGCAAUAACGUGCUGCUCAUAACAGCAAGAAAUCUUAUGAAGUACUGUGAGAAAGAAAAAGUAAACACUGCACUUGGUUUGCCAGACAGGAGUGAGUUGCAGGAAUAUAGAUGUCAAUAUGCCUGAUUAUAAGGGCUCAUCCAUUCCUAGCUGCCUUUCAUAAAAAGCUGACAUCGAUAUCAAAUAGAAACAGAAAAAGAUAUUUUAUUCAAUGAAACUAAGUGUUCUUGUAAACUCUCAAUGAAUGAGUCCUGAAGCAAGAUCUGGGUUGAUUAGACAAUGAAAAACAGUCAUCACUCAGUUGAUUUGCAAGGCUCAGAAAAUUAAUUAUUAGAGUUAUAAAUAGAAUUCAUAGUUGUAAUCAAACUAUGGAUCGAGAUAAAACACAACAGGGACAGGGGCACAAAUCUUAAGUGUUUGCUGAGAGCAUUUUUUGAAAUAUCUAAUACCUAAACCCACUUAUAGAAAUCUAGAUGUCUCUUUCUGUGAGGGAGAUGCCAAACACUGAUGUAAAUCUAUCCCAUGAAGCCAACAUGUGGAUAGUUGCUUUAGUCAGCAAUAUUUGUUCCGUGCAUAGGGAAUAAAACACUUAAGUCACAAAGUUACAGCAUGGAAAAUUUCUAAGGAAAACAAUUGCAUUCAGUGAAAAAAACCCUCUAACUGAAAUGUUUCAGGAAAUGGCAAAGUUGUUUUACCGCUCUUAAAGAAAAAUUGCAGGUUUUAAUAAAGAGAGUAAACAGAAUAUGUUCCCUAUUCCCCUGGACAUUCACUAAGUUUCGCAAAGUUACUAUUGAACUGUUCCAGUCUUGUAUUUAGCAUGCAUGUUCUACCUUCACUGCAAUAAAUUGCAGGUGGAUAAAAAUACAAAGCUCAAUGUGCUAUGUACAAAGAAGCAAAAAACUACUGUUGGAUUUUUGCCAUGUACAUGUUCAUGCAUAUUUACAUCCCUAAGGUACUACCUUAUAUCCCUGCCUUUUUACUAUGUAAGAGUUCCCUCUACUGGCUGAGCUACUGGCCUUGAUUUCCAUUUCACCAUGCUGAUUCAAAAGAUUUCAGAAUCCAAGUCUGACAAUAUUUUUUGCAGUUUCUCUGAAACUCUUUAACAGUUACAUUGAACUCUUUUGAAACUGAGGAGCCUUUAAAAAAAUAAAUGUGAAUCCACCCAGUAUGGACUAAAAAUAUUUAGAGCCAGUACAGUGGUGACAGACAGUCCCUAGCUGAAGCUGAUUGAUCAAAAGAAAAUUCAAUAAGUAAUUGAAUGUAGAGGUAAUUGAAAUACAGGAACAAUUUAAAAAGCAGGAUUCAGUAUAUUGACUUAUUUUUCCAGUCCUUAAAAUGGUCAAGUUACAAGGCUUACAUUGUAUAAUACAUUAUAGAGAGCAUUUUCUUCAAGCUGCUCCAAAAGCUAUUCUCAUUAGUCUUCUUUAUCCUAGAAUCUUACACAGCUGUGCACUGGGUGAAAGCAACUCAAAUGAAGAUAUUAGUUUGUGAAGACUGAUUCAUCUCUAUUCUUCUUUCAAGGUCCACUGAUGAAAUUCCAGGAUUUCCUUACUUAGUAAAAUUGGUUAUUUGAUCUUUAUCCACGCUGGGCACAAUACUCCCACAGAUGACUAACAGAAAUUCCUGAAUCCUCUCCAAGAAGUGUAUACCCUCUAUUGUCUUGGCUUUGAGGAAGCUGGGCAAAUCCAUCAUGCCGUUUUUACCUGAGAGUGAAGAAAUCAUUCUUGACCUCUUAGCAAAGUCAAUUGGCUAGACUCCUAAGUUCUUCAAAAUCUAUACUUCAUCAAUGAAAGGUAAUGCAUUAAUAAUGGGGAAAAUGGGAGAAGACCAGUUUAAAUAUUAGAAAGAAAACAAUAAAACAAACUGUCAUGCUCCUCUCACUGGGAAACUGGAGACAGGAAUUUUGAAAGGAAGGUUUAUCUCUCCUCUUAUUCAAGUUUUUUGAUCGAUAGAAUGCUCAAAUAUUCCUAAAAUGAAACCAAAUCAAGACAUGAAC